rnacentral:rRNA from 1 species
ACCUGGAUAUGGAUUCUUCACGGCAACGUAACUGAAUGUGGAGACGUCGGCGUGAGCCCUGGGAGGAGUUCUNUUUUCUUCUUAACAGCUUAUCACCCUGGAAUUGGUUUAUCNGGAGAUGGGGUNUUAUGGCUGGAAGAGCACAACGCCUCUGUUGUGUCCGGUGCGCUCNCNNCGGCCCUUNAAAAUCCNCAGGAAGGAAUAGUUUUCAUGCCAGGUCGUNC